AUGUACUAUGAGGAGCGAGUCCGGUUAGUGGUCAAGUAUCACGCAGACUAUCUCAACCAGAAGAUUUCCAAACAGGAGGCUCGAGGGAAGCAUCAUUCAUGGGACAAUUACUUCAAGGCAAGCUGGGAGAAGAUCGUCGAACGGUGGACAAAUCCAGGGUGGCGGGAUGAACACAAGGCAAUAGGGGAACGACGUAAGUUGAUGGGUUGUCUAGGACACCGCCAAGGCAACCUCACCAUCCCAGAAAGAAGAAACUGA
rnacentral:rRNA from 1 species